rnacentral:rRNA from 1 species
UGGGGAAUAUUGGACAAUGGGCGAAAGCCUGAUCCAGCCAUGCCGCGUGUGUGAAGAAGGUCUUCGGAUUGUAAAGCACUUUAAGUUGGGAGGAAGGGCAUUAACCUAAUACGUUAGUGUUUUGACGUUACCGACAGAAUAAGCACCGGCCAACUCUGUGCCCGCAGCCGCGGUAAUACAGAGGGUGCAAGCGUUAAUCGGAAUUACUGGGCGUAAAGCGCGCGUAGGUGGUUUGUUAAGUUGGAUGUGAAAUCCCCGGGCUCAACCUGGGAACUGCAUUCAAAACUGACUGACUAGAGUAUGGUAGAGGGUGGUGGAAUUUCCUGUGUAGCGGUGAAAUGCGUAGAUAUAGGAAGGAACACCAGUGGCGAAGGCGACCACCUGGACUAAUACUGACACUGAGGUGCGAAAGCGUGGGGAGCAAACA